AGAGUUUGAUCCUGGCUCAGAAUGAACGCUGGCGGCGUGCUUAACACAUGCAAGUCGAACGAGAAAGGGAUUGCUUGCAGUCCCGAGUAGAGUGGCGCACGGGUGAGUAACACGUAGAUAAUCUGCCUUCAAGCCUGGGAUAACUAUUCGAAAGGGUAGCUAAUACCGGAUAAAGUCGAUCUACACAAGUAGAUUGAUGAAAGAUUGCCUCUUCUUGAAAGCAAUUGUUUGGAGAUGAGUUUGCGUACCAUUAGCUUGUUGGUGGGGUAAAGGCCUACCAAGGCAACGAUGGUUAGCUGGUCUGAGAGGAUGAUCAGCCACACUGGAACUGGAACACGGUCCAGACUCCUACGGGAGGCAGCAGUGAGGAAUUUUGCGCAAUGGGGGCAACCCUGACGCAGCAACGCCGCGUGAGUGAAGAAGGCCUUUGGGUCGUAAAGCUCUGUCAACAGGGAAGAAGUUACAAUUGUUUAAUAGAUGGUUGUAUUGACGGUACCUGUGGAGGGAGCGCCGGCUAACUCCGUGCCAGCAGCCGCGGUAAUACGGGGGGCGCAAGCGUUAUUCGGAAUUAUUGGGCGUAAAGGGCGCGCAGGCGGUCUUGUCCGUCAGGUGUGAAAGCUCGGGGCUCAACCCCGGAAGUGCACUUGAAACAGCAAGACUUGAAUACGGGAGAGGAAAGCGGAAUUCCUGGUGUAGAGGUGAAAUUCGUAGAUAUCAGGAGGAACACCGAUGGCGAAGGCAGCUUUCUGGACCGAUAUUGACGCUGAGGCGCGAAGGCGUGGGUAGCAAACGGGAUUAGAUACCCUGGUAGUCG
rnacentral:rRNA from 1 species